UACGUAGGUGGCAAGCGUUUGUCCGGAUUUACUGGGCGUAAAGAGCGCGCAGGCGGUCGUUCAAGUCGCGUGUGAAAGCCCCCGGCUCAACUGGGGAGGGUCACGCGAUACUGAUCGACUCGAAGGCAGGAGAGGGUAGUGGAAUUCCCGGUGUAGUGGUGAAAUGCGUGAGAUAGUCGGAGGAACACCAGUGGCGAAGGGCGACUACCUGGCCUGUUCUUGACGCUGAGGCGCGAAAGCUAGGGGAGCAAACGGGG
rnacentral:rRNA from 1 species